CUGAAUCCCCAUCGUUGAAACUUUAAAAUUACAAGUAGUCCAUCGAUCGAUCAUCAUCAUCCCCGCACCCCAUCAACUGCUACGUACGGAUGAACUAAUUAACACACGCAUGCAUGCAAAUAUACGAUGCUUAAUUAAUUAACACCGAUCGAUCCCCAUUAAAACCAAACCACAUCGAUCAGACGUCGAAGGUGUUCUUGCCGGUGAACUUGACCUCAAUCGGGCUAACAUUCUUCCCGAUGCUCCUGAAAUUCUGCCCGACGCCCUGCCUGCCGGCGUUCACCUUCUCCGGGUACACCCCGUCCUUGGGGUGGAGGUACUGCACCUCGCCGCUGGGGAAGACGCGGUAGAACUGGUAGGCGAUCUUGUACUUGGAGCGGAGCCGGUUGCCGAGCGCCAGGCACUGCUCCUUGCGCGCCAGCUUGAGGAGGUUGGGCCCCUCACGCAUGAUGGCGGCGCCGCCCGUCGGCAUCUCGAACACCUGCUCCUUGGGCGACGUCCACGUGAUGACGUAGAAUUCCUCGACCUGGGCUUUGCGGAGGAGCCCGCCCGUGCUGCCGCCGAAGAUUGGGGAUGGGGUUGAGGGGUCGAGCUGGGGCGGGACGAAGCCGGCGGGGGCUGGGGUGGCGACGGGAGCCGCCGGGGUUUCUGGGGCGGCGGCGUGGAGGGCGGUUGGGGCGCGGGAGGUGGGGGAAGGGAAGGCGAGGGAGCGGGGUUUGGGGGAGGAGGAAGGGGACCGGGUGGCGGCGAGGAGGUGGCGGGUGGCGGCGGAGGCUUGCGUGGCCAUGGCCAUGGCGGGAGCUAGCUUAGCGAGAGCAAGGAGCGCGCGUGUGGGGGAUGGAUAUGGAUCGGAGUUGAUGGAGGGAAGAAGAAGAAGGGGUGGCUGAGCUUUGGCUAAAGAGGGGAUUGGGGGUGGAGAAGCGGAUAAGGGGAUAUGAGGCCGGCCAAUGGGGAGCCCGGGUUUUGAUACGGCCGGAGCGGGAGGCUUGGCGUGGCGACCACAGAAAACACAAUACAAAUCGCAGCGUGUCAACGUGCACUGGGGUCGCCGGUCGCGGUUUUCCGUGGAUUUUCCUUCCACUCUGUAUGUAUCCGACGACGUUCUAGAUCUUUUCCGUAAAGAGUUGCUUUAGUCGAUUUAAGGUGAGAGCAUUGGAAGCACUACAUGUAACGUGAAACACUGGCGUAACGUAAGUUGUAUUGCUCCAUAACCAGCUGCGACAUUCAUGUAGUGCUUACAUUGUAGUAGAAGGUAAGUACAAGUACAAGGGCUGCCGAGUGUACAGGUGUGCCGUUGAUUCAGGCCGGGAAUUGGGGACGUUGUCACGUUGACUUGGCCCAAACAAAGGAGAGUAGACUACUCUAAUUUGGUCUUCCCUGGAAACCUGGAGAGCCUGUCUCCUAGUGGUACAGGCUUAUGUUGCAGGCCGGGCUACAGGUGCGUAUUACGUAUUGGCUGGGCCGGCCUUUUCUGGGCCGGACAAGAUCGGUAGAAACAAUUUUUCCGAGGCAGGUAAACUGGCUCUAACGAAAUUUGCUGAAUUUGUUUUAUGAAUUUGGUGUAAAAAAAUACACAUGAAAGUAUGAUUAAAUUUAUCAGCGAAAUAAUUCAAUAAGAAAAAACAUGGGUACAUGAAACGGGAUUAUCAGAAACAUUCACGUUGUACCCCCUCCGUCCUAAAUAAGAAGUCCUAGGUUUAUAGAAAAGUCUAGAACUAUAAAUUACUUUUAUGAAAUCUUUCAUCGUAUGGCACCAUCUUUAUCUCGCCUUCAGCAUCGAUAUUCAGAGCCUUGAUUCCACCUGAUCAUCAUUGGGUCAGCUUGUUUCUGUUCGUACGAUGUCUCACAUACCAACCGAUUCUACACUCUGUACAUCAUCGAUGACCAUAAGGAUUUGCGCUAAUCCGCUCCUCCCGUUGUCCAUCGUCCGUCCGUGUGAGUCAUCUUGUAGCUCGCUCGUGUCAUCCUGCGUGCAUGUUCUCUUUCAGAAUGGUGAGAGGGCAUGCCUGCUCAAAUAUGGGACAGCAUGUCAACAAGCUCCCAUUCACUCUCUGCCACAUAUCCAGAUGAUGCUUGAAAUGCUUGAAAACUAAUGCAUGACGGGAGUUGGCAGGAGACAAGGGUGAUGACCUAAGGGGCCACGAAAAAGAAAAGAGGAAGAGAAAAUACAAGGACAUUUUGGUCUAAAUUCCUACCGUGUUUCUGUAAGUUUCAAGAAGUUGAUGUCGAAUUUAUCCGAAAUUGGUUUUUCUCAGCAGCUUCUAUUAAUACAGAAAAAUUGUCCUUGCAAUGGCAUUUAGCCAAUUAAUUAUAAGGAAAUAGUUUCUUGAAUCUUCAAAAUAAUCGUAUGAAAGAAAACCAUGCGGUUGCAAAUAUGGAUCCUUUCAACACCCACGUUUUCUUCAACAAAACAAGUCUUAGAAAAUAUAGCCGCUGCACCCACGACCCAACCUAGGGCGCCAAAGCCAAACUGUAGACCAGAAAAACCCUGGACCAUCCACGCCGUCCAUCUCCGAUCCUACGUCCACGGGCUUCCCCACGGCGAAGAGCAGCGGCCUCGAUAUAGGAGGGAGUCGCUGCUUCGUCGGCCCUUCUCGCCAAAGGAAACGCAGCCCAGGAAGCAACAGCCUCAUCUCCCCCCCUCCCAAGAACUCCCCUCUCUGCUCCAAGCUCCGGCCCCCAAUCUCCUGCAGAUUUCUCCCCCGCGAAUCGCCGGCGGAGCAGCGGAUCUGCGAGCAUUCUCUCGCCCCCUUCGGUCUCCUGGCGGCGCACGGGCGACCAUGGCCUAGGGUUUUGCUCUCGCCCUCUCUCGCUGAACUGCUGGGAACCCGGCGCCGCUGGGCUAGACCGUGCCGGCGGCUGAGCUAGGGCGUGUUCGGGGCAGGUCGGGCGUGGCGGCGGCUGGUCGGGGAAGCAAGUCGGGCCUGGCGGCGCGCUGACCUGGGAUAGGAGGAGGGCCACGAGUGUUUGCGGCGGCAAGACCGGCAACCGGCAGCAGGACCUCCUCUGCUUCAGUUUCGGCUUCUGGUGGUUCGUUGCUCCGAAUCCUGAGGUAUAAACCCUAACUCACUGUUGAUUCGUGGAGAAGUUGUGGAUCCGGUUGGUGGCCAGUAGAUCCGCUUGGUUUCGCCCUUCCUCGGUUUGAUUAUGUUGGUAGAUGAGUUGAAAUCCCUCCGUUAGCACUGUUACUUCUGGAGAAGAGGGACGUUUUUUUUUUGCCUUGCACCGGCAGUUUGUAGUGGGAGUAUGUGCUUCUGACUUCCAUUUUUUGUUGUAAAAUAGUAGUACUCCGUAUUUGUUUGGUUAAUUGUUCAUAUUUAUUGCAAAAACUUCUCCACAAACUAUUGAUGUGUUGCGUUUUGUUGUUGUUGCUAAACACUCAAACUGGCCAUCACCGGCUUAACCAAACAUUCAAAGUGACUCAUCCAAGUCCAUCAAAUCUUGGUCGCCUGCCCACCCGUCUGCCCAUCUUCAACCAAACUUAGUUUCAGUUUAUACUUUGUACCCCAACUAUGCUUUUACUACCAGCUAGAGGAGAUUUAACAGUCACUCGAAGAUGUCGAAUCUACCCGUAGAGAACUAUUUUAUAUAUUUUUUAAAUUCAUUCUGGUCUGCAGUUUAGGAUUUAGCUGCUGACGGAUUUGCUCUUUCAGGAUAACGAUGGAUCAGGAUAAGGAAUCAAGACCCUCAAGGUCACCCAGUGAGCCAAACUUAUUCCUGCAAUGGGGCAGCCGGAAGCGGCUUCGCUGUGUCAAGACACGCGAAGAUGGCUCGCCAUCACCAGCUCGGUCUGAUGUGCUUAGACGUACCAUACCCCGAGUAAAUCGGCCCCUUCUGGGUGGUGAUGUUGCACAAUUUCGUUCACCACGGCGCCCAAGCACUCUUCAUAGCAGGUAAUUCCCAUACGCAUAUGCCCCUUUUGUGUAGCAGUGGAAAAUGUCAAGAAAUGCCUUAGUAGGGUGUCUCAACAUGAUGUUUGUCAGCAGGAAAUCUGAGGCACAGGCGAGUGAGAACAGGCAGUCCAUGUCGCUCUCGCCAGAGAAAGACCGGUAUUACUCCACUAGGGGUUCCCCAUUUCAUUUUGAGGGGAAUGGUUUUGAUUUCAAUGGUGGAGUGGAAGAGAAGGGCACCACAGCUCUGCCAAGGUUCUUCAUCUCACUGUCCAACAAGGAGAAAGAGGAGGACUUCAUGGUAAUGAAGGGCUGCAAGCUUCCACAGAGGCCGAAGAAGAGGCCAAAGUUGAUGCAGAAGUCCUUGCUUGUAAUGCUUUCUUCCACAAAUUUAACUGCAAAGUUUUGCUCUUUUCAAAGCUGUGAAUUGUGUUCAUGCUCAUUUCUAACACUCUUGUUUUUCACCGUUGUGCAUGUCCAUAGAUGGUAUGCCCAGGAGCAUGGCUGUCAGACUUGUCACAUGAGAGGUAUGAAGUUAGAGAGAAGAAGAGUUCCAAAAAGGUAAACCUAGACUGCAAUCAUUUCUGUUUGGUUGCAAGUAACCUAACUGUUCUCUUAGUUCAAAUUUAAGUUCAUCUGUGUACAGUUGUUAACACGUGCAAAAUCAUUCAGCAGAGGGCUAGAGGACUGAAGGCUCUGUGCAUGGAGAGUGAUUCAGAGUAGAGAUUGAGGAGGGGGUCAAUUUUUUUUGACUUGUGCUGGAGGCAGAAAGACAGCGGUACUUAAGUAGCAAUGGUGGCUCUUUAACUAGACAAACCUCAGCAGCUAAUUUAGCAGGGGGGAUCAGUGCCUGCGCCCCUCCCUUAUUCACCCAUGUUGUAUGUCCAUUAUCCCACCCCCUUUUUUUUGUCGAGACUCGAAAGAAAUUGUCACCUGGAACUAUUGCACAAUGACCAAAUCAGUAAUCUUAGAUUCUGCCUGAUCUAGUGAUCCUGCUCUAGUUUCGAAAAACGACCUAGGUUUGUGGGUUGGUUAUGACUGAUAUUGCUGUGGUCACUUGGAUGGAGGUUUUGUGGGCACCUGGUUGUUCAUGCAUGAUCUUUCCACCUCUGUAGCCGGUGGUUGGUCGGUAUACUGCUUAGACUACCCUUGUCUUGGGCUUUCAGAGUGGUUCGAUGCCUCGGUAGUUUUUGUUUGGUGGCUCCGUUGGUUGGUGCUUAUCUGGGACAUAACCAAUGGAUGCCAUCACCUCCAUUUCGCAAGUUUAACCUACCUCGUGAGGAAGAAGGAAAGAACUCUUCAUUCUUUUAACAGCAAAGAAGGAAAAGACUCUUUGUCGAGCCUUUUUGCAGGCCUGUGGAAAAAACUCUUGAAAUCUGAAAUCUGCGGGGUUCCUAGACUCCCGACCUGUGCUAGAGCCCAUGGACCUGUUCCUAAAGACCGCCGACGCUUCCGGCCUCGAAGAUAAUGCCAGCCCAGUAGAUGAGAACAUCUCGGUUCUCGACGAGGACGGGCUCAGCAGCUAGUCAGUCAGUCAACCCAUGUCCAAUGACUCCACUAUCCAGUUUCUUCGCUCAAAAAAAAAGAAAAAUCCAGUGUUUUCCUUCUUUUUUUCGGACGGAGGCAGCCCUAAAUCGCCCGAUGAUCAUGGACAUGCCGCCCGUACGUACUCUGGAGUAUGGUAAGUACACGCACUGUACAAUCGGUAAGGACAUACGGAUCGAACCGGUCGCCACGGACCGUGAGACAGCUCGUCAACGGCUCAGCGCUGCUGCUCUUGCAAGAAACAAUACGGCAGAGGAAGCAAUGCAAGCUUGACUGGCCCGGCCCCGGACCCUGGGAUCCGUCCAUGGCUGAACCUGGCAUGACAUGGAUGAUGGAUCUUUGCUUGCUCCCCAGCCAGAUAGCCAGGCCAAAUCUUCCAUCUUCAAUGGCACCGAUAUGAUCAAUGGAUAUACGAAGCACAUACAUAUCUUCUUUUUAAUAUUCUGGAGUACCGACUGUACAUCCUUUUCCACCUUCAUGUUAAACAAAACUAUACCUGACACAUUCAAACUGCCCAUGAAGGAAUAAUCAAAGAGGACAGAUGUCUUGAUGCUCUGAUGGCUGUCCAGUACCCAGUACCAGCACAGUUAUCAGUUGUUUGUUGGCAUUGAGCAUUUACCAUUUGUCGGUUCAUGGCACACAGGCUGCUGAACUAACGGGCAAAGUUUAAAAGCACGCAAGGCUUCCACAGCACCACAACACGACCAGUUCAAGGUUCACCGGUAAUUAUACUGAAUCUCUCCCGGACGCAUUGCUCCUUUCGAUGCGCCAUAGUGGCAUCCAAAGGAGAGAAAGUCGUCAAGAGAAAUAAUAAAAGCAAGGCACUAAGGCCCCCUUUGGUUAAGCCCAAGAGAGAGCAUACUCCAUGACCAGAAACAAGAGCCAAGUGAAUCAACCAUAUAGGUGAAAGGAGGAAGAGGGUGGUAGGCCACAGCCACAGGCGCACCAACAACAUGCCCAUGCUUCUCUUCAGAAGACUGGCACAGAAAGAGGGAGGGGAAAAAAAGCUCGAGAGAAAAACUAGGAAAGCAACACUGGGACCCCAUUCACAUGACACACGCUAAUCUAGGGCUAAGAAAAACUUGUGCAGAUGGUGUAUUACACUUGAAUGGAUCACUCAGUCAGGGUGUCUUCUGGUCACUGGCAGCUUGCGCUCCUGCCGGGGCCUCCAUAGUAGAAGUAUG
rnacentral:lncRNA from 1 species